rnacentral:rRNA from 1 species
CAGCCGCCAGGUAAUACGUAGGGUGCAAGCGUUAAUCGGAAUUACUGGGCGUAAAGCGUGCGCAGGCGGUUAUAUAAGACAGAUGUGAAAUCCCCGGGCUCAACCUGGGAACUGCAUUUGUGACUGUAUAGCUAGAGUACGGCAGAGGGGGAUGGAAUUCCGCGUGUAGCAGUGAAAUGCGUAGAUAUGCGGAGGAACACCGAUGGCGAAGGCAAUCCCCUGGGCCUGUACUGACGCUCAUGCACGAAAGCGUGGGGAGCAAACAGGAUUAGAUACCCCAGUAGUCCCUGUCUCUUAUACA